rnacentral:lncRNA from 1 species
GCACAGCGCAGCGGGGGUGCAGGACAGGGCAGAGUGGGGUGUGGUUGCACAGCAGGAGGAUUCUGUUACAUGUGUCCUCCACCUUCUCAUCUCUACAGUCUCACCUUAAAAUCCAUCUUCAAGAUGAAGCAGCUCAUGUUCUUCAGGAGGUGACACUUGCAGAGACUGUGUUUCGUUGCGUGAAACAUGGCUCAGAGGAGGUAGCUAGGCCUCAGGCCUAUGUCAAAUAUGCAAGGAAACGAAACUCUGUGAUCUCAGAACUGAAGCACCAAAACUAUGAACUACUGAAACAUUUAUUCACCUACAGAAUGACUCAGGUCUGGAUAGAGGAACCACUUAUAACAUCAUUUCUGAGGAGCUGGAAAGGCAUGGAUGGGUUCCCUCCUCUGUCUCAGAUCUGGAAUCCAAUCAGAGACCUGCUGCUUGUUCCUCUUGUGGUGAUUAACCAUUCUACAACUAAACACACUUACGUUGACAGGUUUGUAUUUAAGUUAUUUUGUUUCAUGGCUAGUAUGCUGGCUAGUUUUAUGUCAACUUGACACAAUCUAGAGUCAUCCGAGAGGAGAAAAGUCCAAUUCACAAAGUGUCUCUAUAAUAGUAGGCUGUAGGCAUGUAAGACUGUAGGACAUUUUCUAAUUAGUAAUUUAUUCAGAAGGUUCCCAGUCCAUUGUGAAUGAGGAUAACCCUGGGCUGAUGGACCUGGAUGCUUUAGAAAAGCAGGCUGCAAAGGCCAUGGAGAGCAAACCAGUAAGCAGCACUCCAAACCUGAGCACUAAGGCUCAGGUUCCUGUCUGGCUUUUAAUUCUGCCUUUGCUUCACUCAAUGGACUGUGUUCCAAAGUACCAAAUAACCCCCAAAGGCUUCAGGAUACCCUAAAAGUGUUCUGUAUCAUUGAGAAAGCCAUUGAUUUUGAACUACUGACAGGAUUUUAGAAAGAACUACUAAAAUCUUCAAAAAAAUGUAUAACUCAGUUUCAGACUUUAAGUUCAGUAGUCAGAUUAAAUAGAAUACUUAAACAGAAAGUACUAAAGUAAAAAAACCAAA